UACAGAGGGUGCAAACGUUGCUCGGAAUCAUUGGGCGUAAAGCGCACGUAGGCGGCCCAGCAAGUGGGGAGUGAAAGCCUCGGCUUAACCGAGGAAGUGCUUUCCAAACUCCUGGGCUUGAAUACUGGAGAGGGUCGCGGAAUUCCCGGUGUAGAGGUGAAAUUCGUAGAUAUCGGGAGGAACACCAGUGGCGAAGGCGGCGACCUGGACAGAUAUUGACGCUGAGGUGCGAAAGCGUGGGGAGCAAACAGG
rnacentral:rRNA from 1 species